AACAUCGUCUUUUCGCCUCGCCAUAACGCUGUUUAUCGUUAUGGCGCCUUCCGACUAGUCAUGCGCUGAGCAAUCUUUCAUAGAAGAUGGCGGAGCAAAGCAGUUACACCAGCCUUUUGAACGGAGACAAUACCACUAAACAGGAUCUAAUUAGAGAAUAUCAUUUUGCUGGCUACACGUACUCCGAUAUUAUUCUUAUUCUCUUCUACCAACAUCACGUAUCUAUAAGGUUUGUAUGUUUGUUUUUCAGACUAUUUGGACAACGCUUUAAAUAUUUGUUUUUUUACCACAUCAUUGAUUCCCUCUUUAUGAGGAUGUUAUAUCUUUAAUGUAUUUUGAAUGAAAGUUGAGAAGACAUGUUUGCGAGAAAAAGCAUUGCAUGUUAUAUAUAGUGAGUUUACAAAGCCACGUUUAUAUUUAUGUAAUAUUAAUUAUAAACUGUUAUUUCAGCUGUAGACAACGAUAUCGGUACUCAGAUCACUAGGUCUUCGUCGUCAGCAUGCGGUAACGGAUGAAGUAGUUCAAGCUAUACAGGAGCAAUGUGUUGACUCUUCAGCGCGAACUGGACCCGGACAGUGUUCGUAGCAGACAGAUGCACCGAAGGGCCGAAUUACCUUAUACAUGUCGAUGGCUAUGACAAACUGAAACGAUUUGGUUUUGCCAUUCACCGUGCAAUAUGCGGGUAUUUUUUUCACAUUAAAGCUUAUUUUUCAUUUCUAUCUGAAGUACAGUAUGUAAAUAGGUAUGGAAUAUGUGCGAUAUUAUUUUGAGGUCGAGGUCAAUAUACAUUGUACGUAGCGGUAGAUUAAGUUUCUUGAUUAAAACAAUAUUGGGAAAAAGUCUAGUUUUCUUUCAUAUCAGCUUCACAUAUGUAAGUAUUAAUGAAAUUAUAGGUACAAACUUCCAAUUUCGUUUCUUUUUUCGAAAUAGUCGUGUC